AUACGGCCACAUCACGUUGAAGCACCGGUUUCCGUACUAUCACCGAAGUUAAGCAACGUCGAGCCAAGUCAGUACCGAGACCGCUGCCCGUUUGGGAAUGGCAGGUGUGGUAAG